rnacentral:lncRNA from 1 species
CAUCUUUAAUAUGACAUUUAACCUUCUCAACGUUGCUUCUCAGCUCACUCGAAGUUUCUUGGUUCAUCAACCGUUUAAUAUUCACGGAGACUUCAUCCCUUGUGACCAUCUUCUUAUCACAAAGGUUAAUUCCAAUUUGCCAAUCAUCAACCACAAGUUUUCGGUUCGUGAACUGAUCGGUUAAAAGCGGAUAACACAACAAUGGUAAACCGCACCAAACGCUUUCUAGAAUCGAAUUCCAUCCACAGUGUGUCAAAAACCCUCCAAUAACCGGGUUUGAGAUUACUGCCUUCUGACAGCACCACUGGACCACAAUGCCUCGACCUUCGGCCUGGUCCAUAAACCGGGUUGGAAGAAAAUCCGGCACGUCAGAGCUGACUAUAUCUGGACGUAAAACCCAAAUAAAACUAAGCCCGCUAAGCAGAAGCCCAUGAGCUAUCUCCACGAUCUCUUUCUUACCAACAUGUGCAUAGCUACCAAACGAAACAUAGAGAACUGAUCCGGUGGGGCGGCCUUUGAGCCACUCUGUACAAUCUGACUCGGUCCACAGGCUUGUGGGGACAACCGAUUCGGUUGAGAAAACCGGGCCGAUGGCGUAAACCGGUUGGUUGGCUUGUAGAACCGAGAGAGAGUCUGGUUCGAGUUCUUGUAUGGUGUUGCAUAAAACGAAAUCUGCUUUCUUGACGUCUGUGAAGGCCUUGAAUAUUAUUCUAUAGACCACUGUGUUUGUGUCGACGUCUUUGUCGCUCACUUGAAGAUAUGACAUCAAGUCCUUUGGUUCUAUUGCAUUAACUCCUGGUAUGUAAUCGAUCACGUCUUCACGGUUAUCUAGCAUAUAGUUUAAAAAAUGUUCAAUAAAUCAUGUAACAAAAAACAUUUAAAACAUAAAAAAAGUUCUUCGAAAUUCGCUUCCACGAAAUAUUCAAAUCAUGAAAAGUCAUACACCAAAUUUUUGUGAAUUUUUAUGGAUUUAAUUUAAUAUACAGCUACGUAAAUAUAAUAUGUAACAAAAAUAUCAGUGGCAUGAUUAAUUAAUUAAGAGGGUUACCAAGAGACUUGAAAUGACCGUUAGAUAUGAGGAGAUGCAUGUGAUAAUAGAGAUUAAGGACCAAGGCAGGUUCGGUCCAAAACGAGACAUUAACAAGGUUGUGUUUCUCGCAAAUCAUAGAUGACCAAACGUAAAACGUGUCGUUGAUCAAGCAAGUCACCGGAGGAUCAUCACCCCGGCGGGAGAUUUUGGUGAUGAGAUCGUCAACGUGGGCAGGGAAGACGUGGAUAAUGCCUUCGAAGAAUUGGUCAUGGUUAAGCGACCGGUCAAACUCCAAAGGGAAGCCGUCGCUCACCGUGGUGUAACGUAUGUCAAGGUUCUCGGAGCUGCGAGCUUCGGAGAAGAUAUCUCCGGCGUCACCUUGGCGAGCGGUGGAGAUCUGGUGGUGGAUGGAGUCAGUGUUGACGAAAGUGAUGGUGAAGCCAUGUGAAGCUAGUUUGAUGGCUAAGUGGACAAAAGGGAUGACAUGGCCUUGAAGUGGGUAUGGUAUCAUCAUGGCAUGAGGCUUUCUCGACUUUGCUCUUUCCAUUGAUCUUCGAUAUUUGGAACGAUUUAUUCUCUUGGUAUUUUGAGUGGCAUAGAUGUGCAGACUGGAUAUUUAUACAUGGUUUAGUAAGUUUCUAAUAGAUCUUUUCAUUAUUAUUUUUCCACACCAUUCGUAGAAAACUUGAGAGGAUAUUCUUUUGAAGAAAAGUAAACAGUUUACCAAUUAAACAAUUCCUUUUAAGCUUAACAUAUCUCCUUUCAAGUUAUAUACUCUGGACUGCUCUGGAUCGACAACAAACAAUAUAUAGACCACACGACUAAUACUAUAUCAUGUUAUGCUAUAUAAGUUUCCAAUUUAAAACCAAUUAACAAUUAACAGAUGAACGGACUGAUUUGUUUAUCGUUUAUUCUAGGUCUUAUCUCAAUUCCAACAUAGAAUCCCUAACACUUACUAAUCAUACAGGUUCUACUGUGAAUAUAUUAGAACUCGAAUAUGCAUGUACAUAAACAUAUAAUGAAUGAUAUUAUAUUGUUUUUUAUCUUGGAAAGUAUAUUGAAACAACAGAAGCCGUCGAAUUUGGUUUUGGGAAAAGAUGAGGACGAUGAAUUUUCAAAGGGCACGUAGAGACAGUCUGUUCGUGUACGAGGACGACAUGAUAAGAACGAGUGGACAAGUGUAACUAAAGCAGAUUUGUCAUUUUAUGACAAGUUGGCUUGCAUCAUUUGUGUAUCAUUGGCUUACAUCAAUUUUGUAAGUUUUGUAAUUAUAACUUUAGAUGAUUACUUAUGGCAACAUGGCACUUCAGUAAGUUGUUAUAAGCUACUAACCAUUUAGUACAAACCCUCAUAUCUAAUAUAUAUAAUAUCAGUUAAUCUACUAAUAAUAGCAAUCCCAAUUAAUUCCAAAGGUUUUGAGUCCACUUAUGUUGAAAGGUUGUGUCUUUUGAAAAAGAAGUGUAAAGGGUUGUGUCUUUUCUAAAAGUUCUAUGUUGGAAGGUUGUAUCUUUUCCAAUUAAUUUCUAAGGUUGUGAAUCCACUUAUGUUGAAAGGUUGUGUCUUUUGAAAAAGUAGUGUAAAGGGUUGUGUCUUUUCUAAAAGUUCUAUGUUGUAAGGUUGUGUCUUUUCCAAUUAAUUCCUAAGGUUGUGAACUUCAAUUAUGUUGAAAGGUUGUGUCUUUUGAAAAAUAUGUGUAGAGAGUUGUGUCUUUUCUAAAAGUUAUAUGUUGUAAGGUUGUGUCCUUCUAAAAAUAGUCUAAAAGUUGUGACUAUUCACUAGUAUCUUUUAAAAAGUGAGAAGUUGUGAGUAUUAGAAGAAUGCAACUAUUCAUAUUGAAGGGUUGUGACUAUUCAAAUAGGCUUUAAAAAAUCUAUAAAUAGUCUCUCCCAUGCAUUUUUCAAAUCAAAUUUUCACUAAUCUACUAAUAAUAAAAUGGUGAAAAAAAUAAUGUCAAAAUUGCAACUUUUCAUCUAAAUAAGGUGUCUUUUCAUCUCAAAGUGAGAUUAUUUUUCUACUAAUAAUAGCAAUCCCAAUUAAUUCCAAAGGUUGUGAGUCCACUUAUGUUGAAAGGUUGUGUCUUUUGAAAAAGAAGUGUAAAUAACAUUUUCUGGUGUCCUAAGAACAUAGUUGCACAAGCAAAACUACCUUUUCACAACAAUCACCAGAAUUUUGAAAGGGGGUUUGGGGUCGGCAAAGAGUAGCAUUGCCGCCAAAUUAAUGUAAACUGACAAACCCGGUUUAAUAACGGUUUAUAGAUUGGAUAAACCGAUAAAUGAGAAACCUAGAAUUUAUAUAGUUUACAGAGAGAUAGUGUAUUCAACUAGUUUCAGAUGAUUUCUAUUAAAAUGAUAAAUCCACUACUAUUCAAAUGAGGAUUUUAAAAACCACUUUAAAAUUUAGUAUUAUUGAACUUGUUAUUUUGUAAAAACAUUCUGAAAUCCAUUUUUAUUGAACAAAAUUUAAGUUUGAGAUUUUAGAAUGUUUUAGAUGUUUUAAGGAUGUUUGAGAGGAAUUUCUUAGUUAUAAAAAUUAAAUCUAAAUCUAUGAUUUUAGAUGAAAUUCUAGAGUUGUUUAACAAAAUUCACACCAAAUUAUAAUAUCUACCUAAAAUCAUGUAAAACUCACUAAAAUCAAAUCACUUUAAAGUUUAGAUUCAAUACACUCUCCUUAGGUCUGGACACUCUACUCAUUUGAUUUUGGAUCGAUUCUUUUGAAGCUUAGUUACAAUUAUUUUUUCGGAUUAGAAUUGGUUUAAUUUAACCCUAAUUUGAAUUGGUUGAGACCAUUUUUCAUACGAACAUUCAUCAAAUAUAAUUUACAUCAAUUAUUUUAUUCGAAAAUAACUAUAUAUAGUUUAACUUUAUAUAUUUAUAUUUUAAUUAUCUAACUGUAUUAAAACCCAUAUCAAAAUAAUUAAUAUAUUUAAAUUAAUAAUUGUAAAUUUUAUAUUUAAAAUAUUACAAGUAUUAUUAUAACUAAUGUAUGUUGGAUAUAUAUUUAUAUGUUUUUAAAUAUUUUUUUGGUAUUCAUUUUCAAUUUGGUUCGAGUUAGGUUUUAGUUCUUCAAGUAUAGGAAUUUAGUUCGUGCAUUGGUGCCUUCCAAUCGAGUUGGCUUUGGUUUGAUUCUUGGGUCCAACUAUUUUGCACAUGCCUAAGAUAAACUAUCAUUCAUGUUUAAGGUAGUUUUUCAUAAAGAUCCUUAAUUUGAUUAAUAGGGUUUGUAUGCAAAAUACAUAAAUGACCAUACCAUUACAUAAGCUUCAGCCGAUCGACUUAUUCUAACCCAUUAUAUGACAAAGUUUAGUUUCUAUCUUGUCUCGGACAUCACCAACGAAUGAGUUAAAAUUUGUGUCUGAAGAUCCAACGCUAGUAACCGCAUCUUUAAUAUGACAUUUAACCUUCUCAACGUUGCUUCUCAGCUCACUCGAAGUUUCUUGGUUCAUCAACCGUUUAAUAUUCACGGAGACUUCAUCCCUUGUGACCAUCUUCUUAUCACAAAGGUUAAUUCCAAUUUGCCAAUCAUCAACCACAAGUUUUCGGUUCGUGAACUGAUCGGUUAAAAGCGGAUAACACAACAAUGGUAAACCGCACCAAACGCUUUCUAGAAUCGAAUUCCAUCCACAGU